rnacentral:rRNA from 1 species
CUUCGGAGGUACUCGAGUGGCGAACGGGUGAGUAACACGUGGGUAAUCUGCCCUGCACUUCGGGAUAAGCCUGGGAAACUGGGUCUAAUACCGAAUAUGACCAUUUAGCGCAUGCUUUAUGGUGGAAAGCUUUUGCGGUGUGGGAUGGGCCCGCGGCCUAUCAGCUUGUUGGUGGGGUGAYGGCCUACCAAGGCGACGACGGGUAGCCGGCCUGAGAGGGUGUCCGGCCACACUGGGACUGAGAUACGGCCCAGACUCCUACGGGAGGCAGCAGUGGGGAAUAUUGCACAAUGGGCGCAAGCCUGAUGCAGCGACGCCGCGUGGGGGAUGAAGGCCUUCGGGUUGUAAACCUCUUUCAGCAGGGACGAAGCGCAAGUGACGGUACCUGCAGAAGAAGCACCGGCCAACUACGUGCCAGCAGCCGCGGUAAUACGUAGGGUGCGAGCGUUGUCCGGAAUUACUGGGCGUAAAGAGCUCGUAGGUGGUUUGUCGCGUUGUUCGUGAAAACCGGGGGCUUAACCCUCGGCGUGCGGGCGAUACGGGCAGACUGGAGUACUGCAGGGGAGACUGGAAUUCCUGGUGUAGCGGUGGAAUGCGCAGAUAUCAGGAGGAACACCGGUGGCGAAGGCGGGUCUCUGGGCAGUAACUGACGCUGAGGAGCGAAAGCGUGGGGAGCGAACAGGAUUAGAUACCCUGGUAGUCCACGCCGUAAACGGUGGGUACUAGGUGUGGGUUUCCUUCCUUGGAAUCCGUGCCGUAGCUAACGCAUUAAGUACCCCGCCUGGGGAGUACGGCCGCAAGGCUAAAACUCAAAGGAAUUGACGGGGGCCCGCACAAGCGGCGGAGCAUGUGGAUUAAUUCGAUGCAA